AACGAACGCUGGCGGCAUGCCUAACACAUGCAAGUCGAACGAGAUCUUCGGGUCUAGUGGCGCACGGGUGCGUAACGCGUGGGAAUCUGCCCUUUGGUUCGGAAUAACAGUUGGAAACGACUGCUAAUACCGGAUGAUGACGAAAGUCCAAAGAUUUAUCGCCAGAGGAUGAGCCCGCGUAGGAUUAGCUAGUUGGUGUGGUAAAGGCGCACUAAGGCGACGAUCCUUAGCUGGUCUGAGAGGAUGAUCAGCCACACUGGGACCGAGACACGGCCCAGACUCCUACGGGAGGCAGCAGUGGGGAAUAUUGGACAAUGAGCGAAAGCCUGAUCCAGCAAUGCCGCGUGAGUGAUGAAGGCCUUAGGGUUGUAAAGCUCUUUUACCCGGGAUGAUAAUGACAGUACCGGGAGAAUAAGCUCCGGCUAACUCCGUGCCAGCCGCCGCGGUAA
rnacentral:rRNA from 1 species